rnacentral:rRNA from 1 species
UGGCGGACGGGUGAGUAACGCGUGGAUAACCUGCCGUAUACCGGGGGAUAACACUUAGAAAUAGGUGCUAAUACCGCAUAAGCGCACGGCUCCGCAUGGGGCAGUGUGAAAAAUUCCGGUGGUAUACGAUGGAUCCGCGUCUGAUUAGCUAGUUGGCGGGGUAACGGCCCACCAAGGCAGCGAUCAGUAGCCGGCCUGAGAGGGUGGCGGCCACAUUGGGACUGAGACACGGCCCAAACUCCUACGGGAGGCAGCAG